rnacentral:rRNA from 1 species
AUUGAACGCUGGCGGCAUGCUUUACACAUGCAAGUCGAACGGCAGCGCGGGCUUCGGCCUGGCGGCGAGUGGCGAACGGGUGAGUAAUGCAUCGGAACGUGCCCAGUAGUGGGGGAUAGCCCGGCGAAAGCCGGAUUAAUACCGCAUACGACCUGAGGGUGAAAGCGGGGGACCGAAAGGCCUCGCGCUAUUGGAUCGGCCGAUGUCGGAUUAGCUAGUUGGUGGGGUAAAGGCUUACCAAGGCGACGAUCCGUAGCUGGUCUGAGAGGACGACCAGCCACACUGGGACUGAGACACGGCCCAGACUCCUACGGGAGGCAGCAGUGGGGAAUGUUGGACAAUGGGGGCAACCCUGAUCCAGCCAUGCCGCGUGCGGGAAGAAGGCCUUCGGGUUGUAAACCGCUUUUGUUCGGGAAGAAAUCCUCUGGGCUAAUACCCCGGGGGGAUGACGGUACCGGAAGAAUAAGCACCGGCUAACUACGUG